UCUCUCUCUCUCUCUCUCUCUCUCUCUCUCUUCCACCUGGAGAGUCGCUGUACCUGCGCGGCGCUCAAACGACUCCCAGAAAUUCGGCUUUUCUCUUCGUAACAUGCAGACAAAUUUAAACGCGUUGAAAUGCACAGAAGGUAGCUCGUUGUUUAGUCUGCAACCGUGAGGAUUUGCCAAUGGAAAGAUAAUUAGUGGAGCUGACGGGAGGCGAGGCUCUCUCGAGCUCUGCUGCAGUUCGACCAUACCGCUGUCACUUACUUCAUCUUCGGAUUAAAAGAUUUUCAAACCCGCAUCAUUCUGGACACGGCCUUUAAUUUUACCAUACAAAAACGAUGAAGCGAGCAGCUUUUUAAUAGCAACGACAGCAUCUUAUUUUUAUUAUAAUUUGAUAAUUUCGAGCAGUGUGGGAAUUAUUUCCUGAUCUUCAAGGCGCUCAUCUUUUUAAAAUAAUUCCCGUCAGUAGGAUUUCGUUUUGCGCAACCUAAAUCGUGCACGGUUAGCUAACCGUCAAUCAUAAAAACAUUUUAAACAUAAUAUUAACGAUUUUGAAUAUACAUUUCUGAUAUGUAACGCUACAAAAACAAUAACGAGAUUAAUAUUUUUUUAUAUUAUGUAGGCUACUUAAAUUCUGAGUAAAUUCUAACUUUUCUCGUUACUAAAACGUUGCUGAAAUGCAUAUAAUUAUUUUUUUGUAAUGGAUUUUACACCCUUGACUUCGGGGUUUGACUUAAAGUCGUUAUAUAGCCUAGCCUAUUCAUUUGGUAAAAAUAGCCUAUACUUUUUUCGUGUUCCAUCACGCAACGCCGUUUCUCUGAUUUACACUGUAGUUUUAAUUUAACUGCGUAUAAGCAUGUGACUCUGACACGGUGCGUUUUGAACUUUAUUUAUCAGUUCUGUAAUAGGCCUGUAAUUUAAGUAAUUUGAAAACCUAUAGCCUCAGUAAAAUACAAACAGAAUAUCUGAAUAGGAGCUAUACAAAAUAUAGCCUAUACAUACAGUCUCUUUAAUAUCGCAGUGUUUUGUCUAAUUUGUCCUUCUGUUUAGCAAGUGAGCCCACAGACUCUUAAACAAACACAUCUUUGGACCAAAUGUGACGUGUUGUGUCUGUAGAGGGCCAAGACAGGUGUUUACCUGUAUUACUGGCAGACAAAGAGGCUCUGUCUGCACUGAGAGAGAGAGAGAGAGAGAGAGAGAGAGAGGUGGGGGAAAUGAAAGAACUCAGCUGAAGAAAAAAAAUACAUCUAGAACCAGACUAAAUUGGUUUGUUGGUCUGAAUCGUUCUAAUCAAAGAGGAUUGUUGACUGGUUUUAAUGAAGUUUUGUGCACCUGUCAGUUAACCCAUCUAAAGCUAAACUAAGCUAAACCAGCACAGGACCAACUAGACCAGGCCAGGAGUCAGAUUAGACCAUCUUAAACCAUCUAAAACCAGUUUCGCCUUUUUCCCAAAAAUAAUAUUUUUAUGAUCAUUAGAAAAGAAAGAAACAAGAAAGAAAGCAGCCUACAUAUCACAUAUCAGUAUGUGAUAAUGCAUUGCCGUGGUUUAGGAUUUUCUCCUUGUGUGUGUCCCGAAGGUCUUGGGUUUUGGGAUCAGAUGACAUCAUCCAGAUGGCCAGUAAUGAACAAGCAUUCAAACGCACCAUUUCAUCUGCUCUAUGCCUGCAGGCCCUACCAGCUAUACGAGCAUCCUUUUACAUAACGGUCCUCCUCACUUAGCAGUCUGAGUCCAUCUUUGUGCUCAGCAUGUUGCUUGAAUUGUUGAAAAAAUAAUAAA
ensembl:lncRNA